UACAGAGGUCUCAAGCGUUGUUCGGAUUCAUUGGGCGUAAAGGGUGCGUAGGCGGCGCGGUAAGUCGGGUGUGAAAUCUCGGAGCUUAACUCCGAAACUGCAUUCGAUACUGCCGUGCUUGAGGACUGGAGAGGAGACUGGAAUUUACGGUGUAGCGGUGAAAUGCGCAGAUAUCGGGAGGAACACCAGCGGCGAAGGCGGCACUCUGGGCUGGAACUGACGCUGAGGAGCGAAAGCGUGGGGAGCGAACGAG
rnacentral:rRNA from 1 species